AGAAGCAUGGUAAAAUAAAUCUACAGUAUAGUUUGUGACGGUGGCUAUCUUUUGGAAGGUGGUGGUGCUUAUGGAAGUAAGGACUGACUCUUUAGAAAGGAGAAGCCUUUUGUCUAUAGCUGAAGCAUUGGGCCUUAUGAUUAGUUUCGGAUCGUUGAUCGCGAUACUGA
rnacentral:sRNA from 1 species